CGAUUUUAUCUUCUUCUUUACUCACCAAUCCUCAAAAGAACAACAACCCAAAAACAAAAACAGACACAGAGAAAUACAGAAAGAGAGGAAUGAAGGAUUGACGACGAAAACGAGCCUGGGGUUUAACCUUUCAACGAUUCCAAGAUCCAACUUUUUUGGAGAUUCUGAGGGAAAAGGAUUCGGUUGAAAAGAAAUAAAACAGGUUUGACACAAGAUCAGUUACUACAUUUGAUAAACAAAAGUUCUCCAGAGAUGGUAUUCAAGUAAAAACAGGUCCCUAGGUUGUAAAAGUAGCUGCUCCAUUCUAAAAGCCGAUCUCCGAUACUGUUUGCAUGAACAAAGAUGUAGUUAAGGAAUUAAUUUGACCCUUAUUUUAUUCCCCAAUG